CCCAGCUCGCACUCCACCCUGGAGCCGUUCUGGUUGGCCAAGCACAGAACCUUGUCCUGGGGGGGGACAGGGCUGAGACCUGUCCGUCUGUCCGUCUGUCCCCCUGUCCGUCUGUCCCCCUGUCCGUCUGUCCCCCUGUCCCCCUGUCCCCCUGUUCCUCUGUCCGUCUGUCCGUCUGUCCCCCUGUCCCUCUGUCCGUCUGUCCGUCUGUCCCCCUGUCCGUCUGUCCCGCUGUCCGUCUGUCCGUCUGUCCCUCUGUCCCUCUGUCCGUCUGUCCGUCUGUCCCCCUGUCUGUCUGUCCCCCUGUCCCUCUGUCCGUCUGUCCGUCUGUCCCCCUGUCCCUCUGUCCGUCUGUCCGUCUGUCCCCCUGUCCGUCUGUCCGUCUGUCCCCCUGUCUGUCUGUCCGUCUGUCUCUCUGUCCGUCUGUCCCUCUGUCCGUCUGUCCCCCUGUUCCUCUGUCCGUCUGUCCCUCUGUCCCCCUGUCCGUCUGUCCCCCUGUCCUUCUGUCCGUCUGUCCCUCUGUCCCUCUGUCCGUCUGUCCCCCUGUUCCUCUGUCCGUCUGUCCCCCUGUUCCUCUGUCCGUCUGUCCGUCUGUCCCUCUGUCCCUCUGUCCCUCUGUCCCGCUGUCCCCGCUGUCCCGUGCCCAGCCGUGCCCGUCCCGUGCCCGUCCCCACUGUCCCGUGCCCGUCCCGUGCCCAGCCGUGCCCAGCCGUGCCCACCCCGUGCCCGUCUCCGCUGUCCCGUGCCCAGCCGUGCCCAUCCCUGCCCAUCCCGUGCCCGGCCGUGCCCACCCCGUGCCCGUCCCCACUGUCCCGUGCCCAUCCCGUGCCCGGCCGUGCCCACCCCGUGCCCGUCCCCACUGUCCCGUGCCCGUCCCGUGCCCGUCCCGUGCCCCGCCGUGCCCACCCCGUGCCCACCCCGUGCCCAUCCCGUGCCCAGCCGUGCCCACCCCGUGCCCGUCGCUGCGCAGGGCGGCGUAGGGCAGCUCCGGGGGGAAGGCGGCGGCCAGCAGCGCCUGGUGGGCAUCGUCCCCGUCCCGCUGCGGCUCCGCGGGCACCGAGGGCUCGUUGGUCACCAGCACCUCCAGCGCCACGUCCUUCUGCUCGCUGACGGCGAAGAUGGCAGUGCCAGCCUCGUCCCUGCGGGCACAGCCACCGUGGGGACACCGCGGGCGCCCAGCGAGAGGUGGCAGUGCCACCCUCACCCCUGUCACUGCCUUGGGGACAUCCCUGGGCACUCGGAGAGGUGGCAGUGCCACCCUCACCCCUGGGACUGCCCUGGGGACAUCCCNNNNNNNNNNNNNNNNNNNNNNNNN
rnacentral:lncRNA from 1 species